rnacentral:rRNA from 1 species
AGUGAACGCUGGCGGUAGGCCUAACACAUGCAAGUCGAACAGCAGCACAGUAAGAGCUUGCUCUUACGGGUGGCGAGUGGCGGACGGGUGAGGAAUACAUCGGAAUCUACUUUUUCGUGGGGGAUAACGUAGGGAAACUUACGCUAAUACCGCAUACGACCUACGGGUGAAAGCAGGGGAUCUUCGGACCUUGCGCGAUUGAAUGAGCCGAUGUCGGAUUGGCUAGUUGGCGGGGUAAAGGCCCACCAAGGCGACGAUCCGUAGCUGGUCUGAGAGGAUGAUCAGCCACACUGGAACUGAGACACGGUCCAGCCUCCUACGGGAGGCAGCAGUGGGGAAUAUUGGACAAUGGGCGCAAGCCUGAUCCAGCCAUACCGCGUGGGUGAAGAAGGCCUUCGGGUUGUAAAGCCCUUUUGUUGGGAAAGAAAAGCAGCAGGUUAAUACCCCGCUGUUCUGACGGUACCCAAAGAAUAAGCACCGGCUAACUUCGUG